rnacentral:ncRNA from 2 species
UAUCCCCCAGGAUAUCUAGAGCCCGAGGGCGAGUUCUAUCGGGUAAAGCCAAUGAUUAGAGGCAUCGGGGGCGCAACACCCUCGACCUAUUCUCAAAUUUUAAAUAGGUAGGACGGUGUGGCUGAUCUGUUGAGCCGUGCCAUGGAAUCGAGAGCUCCAAGUGGGCCAUUUUUGGAAAGCAGAAUUGGCGAUGCGGGAUGAACCG